UGGUUUCUCUUCAGAUUGCAUAAGUCUUUUGCCUUUUACUAAAGAUUUCUAUGGAGGAGAACUGGUUA
rnacentral:snRNA from 1 species